rnacentral:rRNA from 1 species
UACGUAGGGGGCAAGCGUUAUCCGGAUUUACUGGGUGUAAAGGGAGCGUAGGCGGCUUAGUAAGUCAGAAGUGAAAGCCCGCAGCUCAACUGCGGGACUGCUUUUGAAACUGCCAAGCUAGAGUGUCGGAGAGGCAGGCGGAAUUCCUAGUGUAGCGGUGAAAUGCGUAGAUAUUAGGAGGAACACCAGUGGCGAAGGCGGCCUACUGGGCUCUAACUGACGCUGAGGCACGAAAGCGUGGGUAGCAAACAGG